rnacentral:rRNA from 1 species
AGAGUUUGAUCCUGGCUCAGGAUGAACGCUGACAGAAUGCUUAACACAUGCAAGUCUAUGAGAAGAUCUACUUCGGUAGAAGGUUAUCAUGGCGGACGGGUGAGUAACGCGUAAAGAACUUGCCUCUUAGACUGGGAUAACAGAUGGAAACGUCUGAUAAGACUAGAUAUAAUAAUGACAUGGCAUCAUGUUGUUAUGAAAGGCAACACUAAGAGAGAGCUUUGCGUCCUAUUAGUUAGUUGGUGAGGUAAUGGCUCACCAAGACGAUGAUAGGUAGCCGGCCUGAGAGGGUGAACGGCCACAAGGGGACUGAGAUACGGCCCUUACUCUUACGGGAGGCAGCAGCGGGGAAUAUUGCACAAUGGAGGAAACUCUGAUCCAGCAAUUCUGUGUGCACGAUGAAGGUUUUCGGAUCGUAAAGUGCUUUCAGUAGGGAAGAAGAAAGUGACGGUACCUACAGAAGAAGCGACGGCUAAAUACGUGCCAGCAGCCGCGGUAAUACGUAUGUCGCAAGCGUUAUCCGGAAUUAUUGGGCGUAAAGGGCAUCUAGGCGGUCAAUCAAGUCGAAGGUGAAAACUUGUGGCUCAACCAUAAGCUUGCCUACGAAACUGAUUAACUAGAGUACUGGAGAGGUGGACGGAACUACACGAGUAGAGGUGAAAUUCGUAGAUAUGUGUAGGAAUGCCGAUGAUGAAGAUAGUUCACUGGACAGAAACUGACGCUGAAGUGCGAAAGCUAGGGGAGCAAACAGGAUUAGAUACCCUGGUAGUCCUAGCCGUAAAC